CAAUGAAUAGUUACUCCCGCGGUAAAGAUCUCGUGCCACCGCACGUAAAUCGCGCGCCCCGCCGAGGGCAACCUCGUCUUUUCACGCCCUGCCUCUUCGUGCGUGUUGGGCGCUGGUUGGCCCGUGGUCGGAUGAGAGCCGAUUGGGUGAGAACCCUAGCCUCCAUCCCCUCCCUUCUCCCCUUCACGCCACCUCCCGCUUCCUCUCCCGUCGCUGCUGCUCCCCCUCGCGCCGCCCCCAGCCUCCUCACCUGGACACGGCGAUCAUGAGCACCAGCGAGAGGAGGAAGGAUGGCGCCUGGGCACGGGCCACAGAACCGAACCCAGCCCUCCCUCUCUCUCUCCCGCAGGCUCUCGCCGCCACCACCUACGCCGGCCGGUCCCGGCCUACUCCGGCGGCUGCCGGCGACGCGCAGCACUCUCCCGUGGCCGCCUCCCUCGGCUCCGUCCUCCCCGUCCGCGAGCUCGUCCCCGGGGACGUCGUACAGUGAGUGGGCGAGAGCAGGUGAAGUGAAGGCUCGAAGCAGGCAAGCAGCCGUGACUCGAUGGGGUGUGAGGCGGAGGCGGAGGAGCACGUCUCCGGUCUCCCCGAUUCUGUUUCGGUGGUGGCGUGAGGGGGCCCGCCGACUGGCCGAGCGGGGCAGCGGGCGACGGCGACGACCAAGGGAGAAGGGGGACGGCGCUGCGGCGGCGUGCUGGGCCUGAGCAAGCAACAGAUGCGAGAUGCAGGCUGGGGCCAGGAGAGCAGACUAGAGACGAGGGUUGGCGAGACCGGAACACCCGGCACACCUUUUUGCUAGGCCAAUGCCGCUCAAGCUCUGUUGAGACAUGGAACCGAAGCCGUGAGGCGGACAUCAUCAUUUUGUCAGACUAAGUGUGGAGUUACAAGUAUCAUUUUUUCACAAAGGAAGAAAUUCGGAGUAAUUACGGCCUUGGCGCUCUUCAUGUUGUGAGAGAACCUGUUCAGUAGGAUGCCGACAUGCAUCAGGAAGCCAAUGGACAGCCAGAGCUUGAAGGCGUGGAGCUUGAGCUGCAGUGACGACGACAACUUGGGUGUCAGCUGCAAAAAACUGCAGUUCAAAGUGUUCAACCAAGUGUUUUCCGUCCACUGCAUGGCUGGCUACGAGUGGCUGGCCGACGGGGUGCUCGGUGAGGUCGAAGCCGCUGCGUACUGGACUGCCGUCGCGCCAAACGUCGAGGAGUAUGGCAGCGCCGUGGCCAGGUCCAACGCUUCCGGCGCCGAGAACGUGGCCAAGGGGAUCAUGUGGUGCGGGGUGAUGACCGUGGACAGGCUCCGCUGGCGGAACGAGGUGCUCCGAAAGAGGAUUCAAACCGGCGAUAAUGAGGCCGAGGUCUGCCCGGAGAUGCUCAGGUGUAUCAAAAGGUUUCCUUGUGCUUAAUUACACGCUGCAGCGGCGACCAAGAAGCGCGUGGCCCAGCUGACCAAGAAGGCCAGGAACGUGGCCGCCGGCGACAAGGAGCCCGGGUUUAAGUAUCUUUGCUGGCUGUCGAUGGUGGUCUGUCUCUCUAUCUCUCUCUGUAUGUAGUUCCAGUAGUUCCAUGGUACUUUUUUCUGCUAAUUUCUAAUUCCUUGUGGCUAUAUACAAGAUUAUGACUUUUUUUGGGGUGAUGAACCUAUAGUAAUCAGUGACCUGUACUAACUGAAGAUGAACGAGAGAACAAAAUAAGAAAGGGGUGGCUAUUGAAUUGUCAUGAUAGAUCAAAAUCAUGAUCAGUUAGUUAGUUGUUCCUCCAAUAGCAUUGCAUCUAAAUGAAUCUUAAUAUAGCUCACCACAGCUCGCUCCUCCUCCCCGUUUCUUCUUCAAUUGUGCCAAACUUGAGGCUGUAGCUACUAUUCAGAUAGUUAAACUUAGAUUUUUGUGGUCGACGUCCUGCUUGGCGAUGAUGGAAACAGAGGUGGCACGACUCUAUGAUAUGGAUAUGAGUACAAUAGUGUUUGACAGUGGCACAUGCGACGGUGCUCGCGGGUGCCAUGCCUCUAGGCGGGUUGUCUGCACGAUGUUGCAGUGGUCAGUGGCGCUGCACCUACAUCAUGUAUGGAUCAAUAAAACUAGGCAUGAGUGCCAGCGGGUUGUAAAUACCAUAAUUCAGUUGCACAUAUGUCUUUGGUUGUAUCAACACAUCGCAUUUUACUUAGUGAUUUGUCGUGAGUGCUCUUGUGUGAGAUUAGCAUGUCUUUCAUAUCUGCCUUUAAUGUAUGCUUUUGUUUUACCAGUUGCCAGUCACAAGGCUUGAUUAUUACCCUGAACGCUUUAAUAUCUUCUGUUGUUUAAGGUCUGAUCUUGCUUAUUUUGCUAAUACCAUAUGAUGCCAAUGGAUUGAACCUUUCUGUCAUUAUUAUUUAGAUUGUAUUAUCCUAUGCUUUUGUUGGAUAAUUCAAUGGUGGUGCUGCAUAUUUCAUUUCUUGGACGGUUGUGUCUUCCCUGUGGUAUCUUUCUGCAACUGAAUUCAUGGUGCUGCUGGAUGUGUGUAGAUUAUGGCAGCUCGUUUUCAGAUGUUUUCGGAAGCCUCACACAUGUUCUCGAGUCAGUACCUUCAAACAGUUCAUCAUCGCCUUCAAAACUGGGACAACUUUGAGAAAUAGAUCAAUGUUGUUGAUGCUUAUAUUGAUUUUACUUAAUCCAAAAUAUGUUUCACAACAUUGUUGAAGCUUUGGCUCCUUUUUACAGCUGACAUUUACUGCUCUGCAUUUGCUUGGAUUUGUGCUCUCCCUUCAUCCCAUGUUGUGUCUAGGUUACCAAGUUUGUGUCUGCUUCUAUGAUUAGUUGCUCAUGCUUCAUGGUCUUUGUGGGAAACACAACAUGAUGCCUUGCUGGUUCCUGAGUCCCAUGUUUGUUCAUAUCCUUAAUUAUAAUAAUUGUUGAUCUGUAAGGCUAUGUCUGUUGGUGCCACUAUCUAAAUAAAUCAAUUAUCUUGCUGGUGUCAUGUGCUGAAUUUACACAAUCAUGUAAUCCAGGGUUCCAAACUAUUGCUAAUGGUUCGUAAUUUUCUAUUUUGUUGCAGUUGACUCGCUGUAUAAUUUUAUGAUAUAAUUUCUUCUUCUCUUUUAUCGAUGGAGGAGGUAGUCAGAAGUUGUUAUUUUGAAACGCCUCCACUUCUUCUGCAAAAGAUUGGUGAAUUUUCCAAAGGGAUGGAAGAAGUCGAUCACAGGAUCUACUCACCUGAGGGCCUCGAAGUGUUGGAGCUUGGAUCUGGGGGGUGCAUUGGUGUUUACGCUAAAACAAGUCGGUUGCUGCAAGUCUUGCAAGAAAUUUGGGUGACAAGGCGUCUGGGCGGAACUAUCUAUCCAUCUAUCUAUCUAUCUAAUAUAGUUUACUACUAUACCAUGUAAAAUCAGUGUCUCCACUACCACUAUGGCUUGGUGUGGUCAUGCUAUGAUGUUAGUGGACACGAAUGUUUAGUGAUAUGUUGAUUCAGGAAAUUCGCAUUCGGUUCAGCAUGUAGUGUUAGGCUCUAUGCUCUUAGGAGAUGAUGUUCUGUGAAUUUUUUUGCAACUGUUAUUGCCACAAAAUUGAAAUUUGGUAUUGACAUUAUGAAGAUUACCUUAAGUGUGAAAGAUACUGAGCAUGGACCUGUGUUCUUAUUUAUAGCUCUAACUGCAUGUACCAUAUGGAUAAAAAAUGUCUUAUCAUUUCUAAUGAAAUUAUAAGAUUUCUUGAUCUUCAAUAAUGAUGUGUACAUAAAUAUCACUAAACUCGAUGCUGCCUUGUGAUAAUCUCAUGGUGAUGUUGAACUCCAUAAUGUCUUGCUUCUAUCAAAUGUGAAUGUUUCUUCUUACUUUUAUUUUGUUAUAUCUUGUUUGAGUAAGUAUGUUAAACCUGGAUUACUACUAACUUGAACAUUAUUUAUAUAACCACAACGUCGGGAGAGGCACCCUCGCGCCAAGGCGCGUUACCGAUCUAGUGUGCUAGAGGGGGCGCAGCUCUUCGCGUACAGGUUCGCACGCGUGCUGAGACGUGUUCAGCGUAUUUUUGUGAUUACCAUUUUCAGAAGAUAUAAGUAUAAAUGUAUUUUUUUCCUUCUAAGUGCAAGUUAUACACAUCUAUGUUUUAUAUUGGGUGUAUACGUACACACACGCAUUAGGCAAUCCUCGAUGCAAUGGUACGUGCAUGCUUGCAUUUUAAGCUUGCUCACGUACUAACCAAUGUAUACUUGCACUUGAUGCUCCGUGGCAUAGUCUUAUACACACAUGCAGGUUACAAUCUAGAAGGCUGAGUUCCACGUCUACGACGUGCCCACAAGAAUAACAUACAGUAUGUGUAUUUCUUUGAGUACCUGUAUAU